UACGGAGGGUGCAAGCGUUAUCCGGAAUCACUGGGUUUAAAGGGUGCGUAGGCGGCCCAAUAAGUCAGUCGUGAAAUCGCUGGGCUCAACCCAUGCAAUUGCGAUUGAUACUGUUAGGCUUGAAUGGGGUUGAGGCUAGCGGAAUGCGACAUGUAGCGGUGAAAUGCUUAGAUAUGUCGCAGAACACCGAUUGCGAAGGCAGCUAGCUGGGCCUAUAUUGACGCUGAGGCACGAAAGCGUGGGGAGCAAACAGG
rnacentral:rRNA from 1 species